GACUCAGUAGCUGAGUUGAUAACGCGAUGGAGUUUGAAGCCAAAGGUACUGGGUUCGAGUCCCAGAGUGAAC
rnacentral:tRNA from 1 species